rnacentral:misc_RNA from 1 species
AAAAGUCGUAACAAGGUUUCCGUAGGUGAACCUGCGGAAGGAUCAUUACCAAUUUUAAUCCAUAUUCAAAACCCAAUGUGCACUGUGAUUUGUAUUGUCCUUGGGGUGUAUAGUUCUUUCUUACACACCCCAUAUUUACUUGUUAAACCCGUAUUUCAAUUUUCUCAAUGGCAUUCUUGUCUUUUUAAACAAAAUAAAUGACAACUUUUAACGGUGGAUCUCUUGGCUCGUG